AAUUUUUCAAAAAAAAGUUGAAUGUUUUUUUCAAAUGCACUAAUGCUUUCUUUAAUUUUAUGGCAGGUAAUAUGUUGAAUAGAUCUUUUUUUCAGAAGUAUGAAUUUCUUAAUAUUUUUUUUCAGUUUCCGGCAAGUGAACUUUUUUUAUUUGUCUUUAUUAUUUCUCCUGGUACCCUUAUUAUAAAUAGGUGUGUCUCUCCAUAUUGCACAGACUACUAUUCUUGACGUAGUGGUCAGCACAUGGGUGCACACUGUGCGCCCAUUUACUGCGUUUGAACCUGUCAGCGUGCCGUUUUUUCUAUCUUAUUACGAUUUCAUCCCAGCCCUUUGUGUCUUAUUAAGGUGUGUUUGGUUCCUGUCAUCGAUUAGAAUGUAAUGGGUCGAUUCCGUCUCCGAAGCCCAUUCUCAUGUUUGGAUUGUCGAGGGAACCGGAACCCACCGAUUCCAGAGAACCGCAUGUUCCCUCUUUAUGCAGAAUCGAGCAGUACCUCCAAAUUGAGCAGACCGCGUGGAACGGCUCGCACUUCCCCUUCCCCGACUUCCACUCACGCAACCCGCACCGCUGCGCCAACAACCCGCGUCGCCGUCGAGGUCGCGUCCGCCUCUUCCUAGACUCCUCCGGGGUGCGUCGUGCCCUACCUCACAGUCCUCCUCCGUCGGGGACACGACAAGGCCGCCUCUGCCUGCUGCUUCUCCCAGAGUCCCCCGUCCUUCUCUCGGCGCUCCCCUUCGUCCGCAGCGCCCCAACAUGGCGACCACAGAUCUAACAGGUUGACGUGCUUGGCAUUGGUUCUUCCGGGGGUCACCAAAGUGCUCUCUCUUCUCCUUAACUGCUAUGCCAUGUCACCAUGUCAUUUCUUUGCUUAUGUGACAUGCUUAGCACUUGUACACCGUGGAGCAAGCACUGACGCAUAUAUCAUGUGCUGGAAUUGAGAAAUUAAUUCUGUAUCUAAUUUCGUGACAUCCAAUCAAGUUGGGGUCAGAAUUCAGAAAUGAAAUGCAUGAAUUCCAACCCAAAUGACCGGAGCCAAACAAGUUUUAUCAUAGCAGCACUAGCUCCUCGCACCAUCGUUUAGGCAGUGAUUGCCCCCACUCAAGCUUGACUGCCGUCGUAUCUUCGAUCAAGCGUGCCUCUGCCCCCACAACAAUUUCAUUUGUCCCAGCAUAAGCAAAUGCUUUUCCUACAUUCCCACAAUGUCCGUGAGUUCCAAGUCCUAGGGGCUGUUUGGUUGCAACCCUGAGCAACAUGCCUGAGUUUUUCUCCUGCCUGAAGGUGACCUGAAAUUGCAUCAGAAAUUGACUGAUCCGGCACAUCUCUCAUUCAAAGCAGUGUUUGGUUGAUAGCUUGAAACCACGCCUGAACCAGGCAGUGUUUGCCUCAUGAUUGGCCUGAGCUGCAUUCAAAGCAAUAUUUUAUAUGGAGUGACUCAGGCAGCAAACAGCGGAGAGUAGCCAUGCUCAGGCGUCCAAUUCCUUAGGCCUGACACAGGCAGCUUUGCACAGGCAAGAAUCUUCAGGCUAAAAUCUCAGGACAUCAACCAAACAGACCUCAGGCAGCAUGCAGGCAAAAGCUCCGGCCAGGCAAUCGGGCUAAGGGUAGCAACCAAACAGCCCCCUAGUGCAAAACCUACGAACCUCGUCACUCUACCUUCAUCAGCUAUGUUACAUUUUACGAUUUCUCGCCGGCAGCCAAACAGUGGGAGAGCAUAAAGACCACAUAACAUCAUGAAUCGAUGUAUACACGCUUCUAAGUUGAAAGGUUGCAGUGUCAGGCAUUCAAGCAAAAUACUGAUAUGGAAAAACAGCCCAAUGGAUAAAGCUGAAAGACAAGGUUAUGUACCAUAAAAGGCAUCACAAGAAUGCAAAACCAUCGACACAAAAUCGAUGGGAGUAUACUGCGAAGAACUUGUACUCGAUUCGCUGAAAAUGUUUUUAAUCACAAUGCAUGCACUUCCAGUUUGAAGUUGCUUAUGACAGGACACGGAGGAACAUAACAGUGGACUAGACAGUCCGUUGCUGCCUUCCGACACAAAAUAAA